rnacentral:rRNA from 1 species
CCCCCUCAAGAUGAGAUAUCCCAUACGCAAGUAGUAAGACCCCUUGAAGACGACGAGGUAGAUAGGGCAGAGGUGGAAGCGCGGUAACGCGUGUAGCUGACUGUCACUAAUAGGUCGAGGGCUUGACCAAUAA